rnacentral:rRNA from 1 species
CAGUAGCGUAUAUUAAAGUUGUUGCAGUUAAAAAGCUCGUAGUUGGAUUUCUGGCAAGACAGAGCUAACCUGGUACUAUGUAUCGUGUGUUGGACUCGGUCUGCCAUCCUUCCAGAAAAACACUGGCCCAUUCAUUUGGAUUUCGGUGUCGAUCUGGAACUUUUACUUUGAAAAAUUAGAGUGUUCAAAGCAGGCGUUACGCUAUGAAUACAUUAGCAUGGAAUAAUAAUCUAGGACUUCAGUUCUAUUUUGUUGGUUUCUAGGACCGAAGUAAUGAUUGAUAGGGAUAGUUGGGGGUGGCUAGUAUUCAGCGGCCAGAGGUGAAAUUCUUGGAUUCGCUGAAGACUAACUUAUGCGAAAGCAUUCACCAAGGAUGUCUUCUUUAA